UACGAAGGGGGGCUAGCGUUGCUCGGAAUCACUGGGCGUAAAGGGUGCGUAGGCGGGUCUUUAAGGUCAGGGGUGAAAUCCUGGAGCUCAACUCCAGAACUGCCUUUGAUACUGAAGAUCUUGAGUUCGGGAGAGGUGAGUGGAACUGCGAGUGUAGAGGUGAAAUUCGUAGAUAUUCGCAAGAACACCAGUGGCGAAGGCGGCUCACUGGCCCGAUACUGACGCUGAGGCACGAAAGCGUGGGGAGCAAACAGG
rnacentral:rRNA from 1 species